CGAUCCCGGUGUCCCGUUCAAUUCAAGAAAAGUAGUCUAAAUAAAAAAUAUUAAUUACAGUUCAAAAAUCGUUCGUAAUUGUGUCCGGUGAUUUAGUAUCAUACCAUCAUAACAUAUAUAUGAGAAGAACCUAACCCGUGUCAUGCCGUUAUUCUCAACGAUAUAUUUUUUUUAUCAGUUUGCAAAUUUCCGAGGCCAGUCAUUCUUAUUUUGAAAAGGCAGUAUUAAUGAUCAUUAAUAACGACAGAACUAAUAAUAUACUCAACAUUGAAAAUGCGUCAGCGGGAACCAGUAACGUAAUCGGGAUAUUUAGUCCGGAUUCGGUUUUCCUUUUUUUAGAUGUUAUGACGCAGACGACAAGGACGCUGGGUGCGAUUGUUUAUGAGAAUGAUUGACUUGGAGAGACGGACAUUUGAAUUAAAACAAAUGGAAUAAGAUAUGCAAACCAAGCAGAGGCGGAUUAUUUUCCGAGAAGAAGGUCGCUUUACAGCUUCAAAAAUGGGGACGACUUGUCAAACAGUCAACGAAACAAGAGGCAGAUUCAGAUAACUUAUUUUGGUAAAUAAUUAAUAAAUGGGUAGAUCACUCAGAUCGCUUAAACAAACACACUACAUAUAUUAAGUAUGUUGAAUGCAAUGUUGAAACGUUGCUAAUCAGCGUUGCCAUAUAUUUAUAUACAAUCAAACAAACAUUCAUAGCAAGACCGUUGACAACGAUGUCAAGUCCGUUCGUCCUUGGCUUAUUGCAUGACAAUUUUGCCAUGUGUUCGUUCGCCCUACUGUUUUUAAAAACGAAACAAAUAUAUUUAAAUGGCAUAAAGGUUUUAUAAACUGAAUCAGAUAUUAUAUGAAAAAUAGUAGGGAUCUAGCAACCAUUUUACUUUUUUUACUUCAAAGGUAAUGACUAUAUAAAAAAAAAGGUUUUAUUUAUUUAAAUUAAUAUAUGAAAAUAAAGGGUUGGGUAACAGAACCCCAUCAGCAUUAAGUAGCUUCCCAUACUAAUUAAAUUAGCCUUUCCCCAGUAAUCUACAGGCCAGGAGCUCAAUUUUUGAAAUUUUUUAGUUAGACUCUGUUGGCCCGUAGUGUAGAUAUGAUUUUAACAGGCCCGAGUGAGAGCAAUUUUACUAGCCUGGGCUGCCACUCAGCGUGAAGACUGCUUCAGUGGCGGAUCCAGAAUUUUUCAUAAGUGGGGGCCCACUCCAGUGAUUCCCUAUAUAAGCAACAAAAUUUUUUCCCAAAAAGGGGGGCCCCCCCCUAAAUCCGCCUCUGUGCUUCCCCACUCCACACCCCCAAGAUUAAUUGUCUUUGACUUUAUUCAAGAUAAAAUGUAUGAAUUAGUUACAAUGUACAAUGACAUAGUUGACUGAGUUGUAGCACUAGACAUAGUUAAUAGACACUAAAAUUAUAAAAGAUUUACAUAAUACAUGUUUACAGAAGGGGGCAGGACCUUUUUCGUGUUUUUAAGCCCUGGAUUUCAGGAUCAUGACUCAUUCGACCCGCCUCAUUACAUGUUUACUAAAAAUUAUAAUUUAAGAAUAUAAAAUCAUGAAUAUUGUCAUGAUAUUUUGAUAAUACAAUGUACAUGUACGGUACCAUAUAUGAAUAGAAUCUGAUGUGUCAGCGCAGUAGUGGAUCCAAGGGGAGGGUUCUUGGGGUUGGAACCCCCCUUUUUUUGGUCGAUUAAUGCAAUUGAAAUGAGACAUAUAUUUGGAACCCCCCCCCCCCUUUUUAAAAUGGCUGGAUCUGCCCUGCAGUGGUUGUCCUCUGUUUAUGUAGUUAUACCCCACGCAAUAUUGCGUAUAUAAUGUUUUUGACCCGUCAGUCCUGUUUCUUGUCAUAUGAUAGCAACUCCUCUUGAACCAAACAACAUAAUUUCACGAAACCUUUUUAGAUAAUAAGGACAUUAUAUGUAGAUGUGCAUUUUUUUUUUCAAGAAGUUGCGCCCCUUUGAACUUUUUUGCUUUAAUGUACUACUGCAACAGUUUGUCAUCGCAACUCCUCUGAAACCACACAACUGAAUUUCAUUAAACUUUGUAGAUAAUAAGGACAUACAACGUAGAUGGGCAUACCGACAUGAAAUUACAAUUUAAUUUUUUUUCCAGGAGUUACGCCCCUUUGAACUAGUUUGCUGUAAUAUACUACUGCAACAGUUCAUCAUCGCAACUUCUCUGAAACCAUACAACAGAAUUUCAUGAAACUUUUUAGAUAAUAAGGACAUACUCAUAAUGUAGAUGUGCAUAUUGACAGGAAAUUAUGAUUCAAUUUUUUUUUCUCAUUCUAUUUUUUUUUCUUAUUUAAUUUCUCCAAUGACAAUGUGGGGACGUACAUGUAGGGUAUGUGGGCCUGCUCACUAAGGUUCUUAAUUCAUAUAUGUUUCUCAAUUCUCGUUUUUAUAUAGAUUAAACCAUUGGUUUCCCUGUUUGCAUGGUUUAACACUAGUAAUUUUUGGGGCCCUUUAUAGCUUGCUGUUUGGUGUGAGCCAAGGCUACAUGUUGAAGGAUGUACCUUUACCUAUAAUGGUUUACUUUAUUUUUCAUAAAUUGUAAAUUGGAUGGAGAGUUUUCUCAUUGGCACUCGUACCACAUCUUCCUAUAUCUAAAGAUUACAUACCACAUCUUAUUUAUAUAUAUAUAUAUGCUAUGUAACUACUUGGACUAUGGAUAUUGGAUACCUGAUUGAUCAUAUGCAGUCUCGUUAUAUUGUUUCGUAAUCCAACAUAAGUUUGUCUCGACUAUUAAUAUUAUGAAAGUGCUACUACAUAUAUACAUUGUACACAAUGCUUAUUACCACAAAGCACAGAUUGAGGUUGAAAUUUCGUGGAGUCAAAGAGAUAUGCCCCAUUAUUAGAAAAAAUGGCUGAAUCUAGUUUCUGUUCUCUAUCUUAAGUAUGUCUCAUACAAAUGUUUAAAACUUAUGCUUAUAAUCACAAAAUGAAUCCUGCAUCUGUAUACAUGUAUGUUUACAAAAUUCCAAUGCCAAAAGCAAUAACAUUUUGAAGUUUAAACCUUUUUUAGAACUGUCAAAUUGAUAUAAAUCUAAAAAAAGAUACCAUGCUAAUUUCAAAAUUAGCAGAUGCAGCAUGCAAUAUGAAUGCCAAUGUCACACACACAUGACAGUGGCAACUAUCCACCUGAUGGUCAAGUAAAUUUUGUAAAAAUAUUUGCAGAUUAUGCAAAUUAUUUGUACAUGUAUGCAUGAAAAUUAAGUAUAUUUUUUUAAUUUUUCAGUGCCAAUCACUAUUCCAACAACUGAAUAUAAAUG
rnacentral:lncRNA from 1 species